GUCCUUUUGAUGAAAAUUUAAGGUCAGACCUGCUCACUGAUAAAAUUUAAAGAGCCGCAGUAUUAUGACUGUGCAAAGGUAGCAUAAUCAUUAGUCUCUUAAUUAGAGACUGGAAUGAAGGGUUUAACAAGAAAUUUUCUGUCUCUUAAUAAAUUAUAUAACUUAACUUUUAAGUUAAAAGGCUUAAAUUUUUCUUUAAGACGAGAAGACCCUAUAGAGUUUAAUAUUUUAUUUAAUUUUGUUUUUUUGUAAAUUUUGUUACUAUUAAUUCAAAAUAUUUUGUUGGGGUGACAUGAAGAAUUAAUAAACUUUUCAUUUUUUAAUCAUAAAUUAAUGUUUAUUUGAUCCAUAAUUUAUGAUCAUAAGAUUAAAUUACCUUAGGGAUAACAGCGUAAUUAUUUUUGAGAGUUCAUAUCGACAAAAUAGAUUGCGACCUCGAUGUUGGAUUAGGAUAAAUACUGGGUGUAGUAAUUUAGUAAUUAGGUCUGUUCGACCUUUAAUUUCCU
rnacentral:rRNA from 1 species